rfam:Desulfobacca acetoxidans DSM 11109, complete genome.
GGGGGUGUAGCUCAGUUGGGAGAGCGCCUGCUUUGCACGCAGGAGGUCAUCGGUUCGAAUCCGUUCACCUCCA